CCUACGGGGGGCAGCAGUGAGGAAUAUUGGUCAAUGGACGAGAGUCUGAACCAGCCAAGUAGCGUGAAGGAUGACUGCCCUAUGGGUUGUAAACUUCUUUUAUAUGGGAAUAAAACGCUCCACGUGUGGGAUUUUGUAUGUACCAUAUGAAUAAGGAUCGGCUAACUCCGUGCCAGCAGCCGCGGUAAUACGGGGGAUCCGAGCGUUAUCCGGUUUUAUUGGGUUUAAAGGGAGCGUAGGUGGAUUGUUAAGUCAGUUGUGAAAGUUUGCGGCUCAACCGUAAAAUUGCAGUUGAAACUGGCAGUCUUGAGUACAGUAGAGGUGGGCGGAAUUCGUGGUGUAGCGGUGAAAUGCUUAGAUAUCACGAAGAACUCCGAUUGCGAAGGCAGUUCACUGGACUGCAACUGACACUGAGGCUCGAAAGUGUGGGUAUCAAACAGGAUUAGAUACCCGGGUAGUC
rnacentral:rRNA from 1 species